UCCGGCCAUAUAAUGUUGAAACACCGCUUUUCGUACGAUCACCGAAGUUUUAGCAACAUUAAGCAACAUUGAGCCUGGUUAGUACCUAAAUGGGUGAACACUUGGGAAUACCAGGUGCUGUAAG